AUACGGAGGCUCCGAGCGUUAUCCGGAUUUAUUAGGUUUAAAGGGUGCGCAGGCGGAACUGUAAGUCACCGGUGAAAUCCUACAGCUUAACUGUAGAACUGCCGGUGAUACUGCGAUUCUUGAGUAUAGUUGAGGUAGGCGGAAUGUGUAGUGUAGCGGUGAAAUGCAUAGAUAUUACACAGAACACCGAUUGCGAAGGCAGCUUACUAAACUAUUACUGACGCUCAUGCACGAAAGCGUGGGGAGCGAACAGGAUUAGAAACCCCAGUAGUCC
rnacentral:rRNA from 1 species